rnacentral:rRNA from 1 species
UACGUAGGGUGCGAGCGUUAAUCGGAAUUACUGGGCGUAAAGUGUGCGCAGGCGGCGUUGCAAGUCGAGUGUGAAAUCCCCGAGCUUAACUUGGGAAUUGCGCUCGAAACUACGAUGCUCGAGUAUGGCAGAGGAAGGUGGAAUUCCACGUGUAGCGGUGAAAUGCGUAGAGAUGUGGAGGAACACCGAUGGCGAAGGGCAGCCUUCUGGGCCAAUACUGACGCUCAUGCACGAAAGCGUGGGGAGCAAACAGG